rnacentral:rRNA from 1 species
AUUGAACGCUGGCGGCAUGCCUUACACAUGCAAGUCGAACGGCAGCACGGGAGCAAUCCUGGUGGCGAGUGGCGAACGGGUGAGUAAAGUAUCGGAACGUGCCCAGUCGUGGGGGAUAACGUAGCGAAAGUUACGCUAAUACCGCAUACGAUCUAUGGAUGAAAGCGGGGGAUCGCAAGACCUCGCGCGAUUGGAGCGGCCGAUAUCAGAUUAGGUAGUUGGUGGGGUAAAGGCUCACCAAGCCGACGAUCUGUAGCUGGUCUGAGAGGACGACCAGCCACACUGGGACUGAGACACGGCCCAGACUCCUACGGGAGGCAGCAGUGGGGAAUUUUGGACAAUGGGCGAAAGCCUGAUCCAGCCAUGCCGCGUGCAGGAUGAAGGCCUUCGGGUUGUAAACUGCUUUUGUACAGAACGAAAAGGUUUCUACUAAUACUAGGAGCUCAUGACGGUACUGUAAGAAUAAGCACCGGCUAACUACGUGCCAGCCGCCGCCGUAA